rnacentral:tRNA from 1 species
GCCCGGGAAGCUCAGUCGGUAGAGCGUGAGGCUCUUAACCUAGCGGUUCAGGGUUCGAGUCCCUGUUCGGACG